UUUUGAGUUUGUGCACAUGCAUGACCAUAUUGAAGAAAUGGGCAGAAAUAUUGUUCGUCGUUUGCACCCAGAUAAGCCUCAGAAACACAGCCGAUUGUAGAUUGAUGAUGAAAUUAAAGAUAUAUUGGCUAAUGACUUGGGUACUAAAGCAACAAGAUACAUACAAUUCCAGUUAAUGGGAGGCAAUUUUGAAAUGGUUAUGAAGGGUCUUAGAAAGAUGAAGGAACUUAGAUUUCUUCACAUAUCUCGGAAUACAAGAUAUAAUUUUGCGGAAGAAAGGAAAUAUGCUAAUGUCAGCCAAUACUUUCCAAAUGCUUUACAAUAUCUUUGUUGUAAGGAGUAUCCUUUCAAGUCUUUACCCCCAACAUUUCAAGCAAAUAAUCUUGUUGCCCUUAAGAUGGCUCAAAGCGAAAUAGUACAACUUUGGGAAGGGGGAGAAAGAAAGGUUCUUAACAAGCUCAAGAGUCUUGACCUCGGUCAUUCAAAGUUGACGACCCUUGAUCUUGAGCUUAGUCCAAAUCUCGAGACGUUAUCUCUAAGUGGAUGUCGUGACUUGGUACAACUUCACAUGCUCAAUGGAUGUCGUCAGCUCAAAUCCAUCGACCUCAGUUAUUCAAAGUUGACGACACUUGAUCUUGGGUCUAGUCCAAAUCUCGAGGUGUUGUCUCUAAAUGGAUGUUAUGACUUGGUUCAACUUCACAUGCUUAAUGGAUGUCGAAAGCUCAAAGCCAUCGACCUCAGUGAGUCAAAGUUGAAGACAAUCGACCUUCGCCCAGCUGUGAACCUCGAGCUCUUACAUCUUAAAGGCUGCAAUGCUUUGGUAAAACUUUGCUUACCAAAUGGAUGUCUAAAGCUCAUAUCUGUUAACCUCAGUGGUUCUAAAUUGAAGACCAUUGACCUUCAUUCAUGUGUGAAUCUCAAGUUGUUAGAUCUUGAAGACUGCAAUGCUUUGGUAGAACUUCACAUGCCUGGUAGAUGUCUGAAUCUCAGAUCCCUGACACUCACUAAUUCACAGUUGAGGAACGUAGACAUUGGGUGGACUCCGAAUCUGGAGGAUUUAGAUCUUAACAAUUCUUAUGAUUUGGAAGACCUUCACAUGGCUGAUAAAUGUCUAAAGCUCACAUCCCUCAACAUUAGUCAUUCAAAGUUGAAAACCCUUGACCUUGGGUUGACUCCAAAUCUGAAGAAGUUAGAUCUAAAAGAAUGUAAGAAUCUGGUACAGCUUCAUGUUCCCAUUGGAUGUCUAGAAAAUCUUGUCUACUUGAACUUAAGAGGCUGUUUGGGGUUUACAUCUUUUAUGGUUGACAAAAGGAAUGUUGCUUCUAGUAGAAGGGAUGAAUCACUUGAGAUUGGUCCUUCAGCUGAGUCACAUCUGAUUGCCAAGUCCCUUGAAAGAUGUCCACUUCACCCGGACAAUACUUUGCGACAGUUUCAGUUUGAAUGCUUUUACAUUGAUGAUCCCUCAGUGACUAGAAAUCUUGAGAAGCUUAUUUCUGAAGGUCUGUGUGCUUGCACAAACCUUGAGACACUUUCAGAAAGCAUUUUUGGGUUACGAUGUUUAAGAAUGCUUAAACUCGAAGGCUAUCCGGAGGCUCCUAAGGACCUUGACCGGGUAGAAUGUCUAGAAGAGCUAAGUUUUUCUAGGACAAAUAUGAAACAUCUUCCGGAUAGCAUUUGUAUGUUGAAACAUCUGGAAAUUCUUCAACUUAAAGAUUGUUGGAGUCUUGAGAAGUUACCCGAGGAUCUUGGUCGAUUAGAAUAUUUAGAGACUCUAUAUUUGUCGAAUGCAAAGAUCGAACAUCUUCCAGAUAGCAUUUGUAUGUUGAAACAUCUGAGAACACUCACUCUAUUUCGUUGUUGUUCACUUAAGACAUUACCAAAGGAUCUUGGCAAAUUAGAACAUUUGGCAUGGCUAAAUCUGUCAUCCUUGAUCAUCAAACAUCUUCCGGAUACCAUUUGUAUGUUGAAAUAUCUGGAAUGUCUCAGACUUGAUGAUUGCAAAUUACUUGAGAAAUUACCGGAGGAUCUUGACCAAUUAGAACGUUUAGAGCAGCUAGACCUAGGGGAGUGUAAGAUUUUACAAGAUAUCCCAAUCGGCAUCUGUAAGAUGAAAUGUUUAAAAUGGUUAAAUGUAGCAGGUACAAGCAUAAGUCGUCUUCCGCAUGACAUUUGUUUUUUGAAAGGCAUGCGUAUUUCAGGAUCGAGAGACCUUCUUCAAUCCUGUGGUUUUACAUCCGAGAUACAAACCUUCGAACAUACUUGCUUCGUAGAUGUGUGAAUAUCACAAGCCAGGAGUCUGUUAGUGUUAGUAUCCCACAUCAUGACCCUGUAUGUCUCUAUUUAUGUUGGAGUCUACCCAAUAUUCGUAAGGGCUCUUUUGGAGCGAAAACAUGACUACACAAAUAUCAAUGUUUGUGGGGGAGUGUUAGUGUUCCACAUGAUUCGGUAUGUCUUUCUAUAUGUUGGAGUCUAUCAUCUCUCCACGAGGACUCUUUUUGAGGGUAUAUGAUUUUGAGAUGCUCCCAUGGCCUAGGAAAAUCCGAUUCACAAAGAACUAUUCUAAUAGAUCCAAAUACAAUGUCAGAAUUGAUCAAGAAUUAAGUAAAAAAAAUCAUAGAAACACAUGUGGAUUUCAUGCAAAUUGUACUUAACAAGAAGCAAUUGGAACACAUGCGAGGACCUUGAUGAAAAUGGUGGGAACUUUGAUAUGACUUUUUAAAUGGUCCUGUUAAUAAUAUGUUAAGGAACAGUUUUUGCGUAAUUUAAAAACAUAAACAAGCUUGUAUUCCCUUCUUUUUCCCAUUUUUUGCAUCAUUAUUGUAUUUGUGUUGCUAAUGAUAUGACUCAUCCAUGAUUCAUCGUUUGAUUAUA